CGUAGGGUGCGAGCGUUAAUCGGAAUUACUGGGCGUAAAGCGUGCGCAGGCGGUUUUGUAAGACAGGCGUGAAAUCCCCGGGCUCAACCUGGGAACUGCGCUUGUGACUGCAAGGCUAGAGUACGGCAGAGGGGGGUGGAAUUCCACGUGUAGCAGUGAAAUGCGUAGAGAUGUGGAGGAACACCAAUGGCGAAGGCAGCCCCCUGGGUCGAUACUGACGCUCAUGCACGAAAGCGUGGGUAGCAAACAAGAUUAGAUACCCUGGUAGUCCACGCCCUAAACGAUGUCAACUAGGUGUUGGGUGGGUAAAACCAUUUAGUACCGGAGCUAACGCGUGAAGUUGACCGCCUGGGGAGUACGGCCGCAAGGUUA
rnacentral:rRNA from 1 species